GAGUUAACCUGUGUUUCAUUUCACUCGAUUUUACAUACAUUUUUCAAAUUUCCUCUGGAGGUGCAGGUGUAGAGGGACCUCGAACUGAUGCUAAAGUUCGCACCGGACAGACGCGGGAGUCUAUCCAAAUCUUGUGUCAUUAAGAAUUUGGCAGUACGUCCAACCGGCCUCACAGCCGCAGACCAUGUGUACCCACGCCAUCAAAGGACAUCCACAUCCCGCUUAUUCACCUGCAGGAUCAUCUGAGGAGGGGUGCUGAGGAGUAUUUUUGUCUGUAAUAAGGUCCUUUUGUGGGGAAAAACUCAUUCUGAUUGGCUGGGCCUGGCUCCAUAGUGGGUGGACCUGGCUCCCAAGUGGUGGGGUCUAUAGAUUAGGGCCUAAUGAAUUCAUGUAAAUUGACUGAUUUCCUUCUAUGAAAUGUAACUCAGUAAAAUCUUUGAAAUUGUUACAUGUUGUGUUUAUAUUUAUGUUCAGUAUAUAUCAGCCACCCCUGGCACUGAAUAUCAUUAUUGUCCCUGAAUAGCGUUAGAAUAGCAUUUGCUUCUGAUGAGUAAGAGGGGGGGGAGGGUGGCUGUAUGAUUCACUUAAUAUUAACAUUAUAAGACAGUUCCAUUGAGUCACACUGUAGAGACAAUUGGGAGCACCCUGCUGCCUGGAAAUGGACUGAGAUGCCGUGUCUUCUAAGGAAAGAACAUUGCCAAGUUAAUGAGCUAUAGAGAUGAAGCAUAAUUUACUAGUGCGUGCACCACACUCAAUCAACUGACUGCAUAUCACUGUCUUGUCUCUGUUGUGUAAAGCAGCAUAGUGCUCCAUAAAAUGCAGUCUUUUGUCAUUGUAACUUUAUUUAUUUUGAGGUUUGCCUGUCUUGGACCUAUUGAGCAAAUACUGCAUGUUGUUUAUACAGUAGGGUAUGUUGGUUGUGUAGUAACCUAGACUACAGUGUAGCUGUCCGGAUCUCUGGCAGCAGAUCUGAAGUGACAGACACGCUGAUGACGAGGAGCAGAACGUCUUUGAGUGCUAUCCUCCUCUCCCUAUCUUCCUCCAGUUCAUCAUCAAUCUCUUGUACUUUGGCUUCAACUCUUGACUGUGCAAGAGAUGACAAAAUGCUAACAUUAUUGAACAUGUUGGAACCCCCUCUGUCGUAAAUAAAUCAAUGAUGUUCCUUGAGUGAA